AGAGCCGGUGCACCGACAGAGCCUGGUAUUGGCUUUGGGUCCGUGAAACACCACGGAUGCUCACAAACCCCGCGACCCGUCAACCAUCUUGACUCAAGGACCCCCCCCCACGCCCACCCCGAAUGCGGAGGGACCGGCGGGCUGGAAUCCACGACCGGCGAGUCUGCCCUCGCCUGCACACUGCAGCCUCAGCCUGGAGAGCCCCGGCACGCACCCCCGCCCCCCGCCCCCGCCCCGCCCCGUCGCGGGUCUUUUACCUUGUGGCCUUUCCCUGGGGGACACCUGACGUUGUUGGAGGCUCCCGCUGUUUGAUUCAUGUCCGGAGGAAGUUGGGGGGCCCGAUUCUCGGCCUUCAAAACUUCCUUCGCGCGUGGAGGGUGGCAAGGUGCGCGUCUCGGGGAGGCCAGGUGGGUCCUCCCUCUCCAGCCACGGCCGGGCGAGCGGAAGCCGGUUCCUCACGCCGCAGGUUUCGGCGGGGCUCCUCGCCCAGGGAUGACAGCCCGCAGCCCGGUGCUGAGGAAGGAGAAGCUGCGGCUGGGACCCCGGAGGGAGCCCGGGCGGCAGCAGCGGCUUCCAGGGCGCUCUGCCCAGCGCUGCCUUCCUGGGAAACAGUCCAGACUCUCAGGACCAGAAGCCCGAGCAAAUCGGAAAGGAGCUCCGAGGAGGGGCCAAGGAGUCAUGAUCUAAUUAGUCAGCUUUCGGAUAGAGGUGGAAAACUGACCCUUGGGAACUAAGAAAAACAAAUCAAGAAAGAGCAACUGCUCCGUGAAGACUGCAUUGCAACAUUCUAGAAUUACAAGUCUGAGUGGUGGACCAGCAGCACAUUAGAAUACAGCCUUGGAGUUUAGCUAAAUGUUUUUUUCUAGAUUCCUGCAGGUAGAGAUGGCAGAGUUUGAAUAUUCUGGGUGGAAAAUCAAACCACACAACUCGGUUUCUGUUUCCAGAUCGCUCAUCCUUCGGUUCAUCAUCUGUAAAGUGAAGGAAGAUAUUGGCUUCCCCGGUGAGAACCGGAGCUGCGGUUCCUCCUCAGUCACGUUGGGGAACAGCACGUCCCCAUGGGUGCCCCUUUAGAGUAAAAAGGAGAUUUCCUUCUCAGGGGUCUGCCGAUGCUCACUGUCAUCUCCCUAGAGUAUUCCGUGGGCCACACAGUGACUCAGAGAUCCAGCCAGUCUUCACUUGGCAGCUCUGUCAUCUCAACGUGUGGCUUCCAUCACCACAGCUGGAAAACCAAAAGCCAGAGAUUCAGCUUCAAGACCAUUUUCUCAUGUUCUAAAAGUUCAAAAGCAAGCACUCAGGAGAGAGUUGGCUAUGCGUUCCUGCCUUGGGUUUUCUAAGACUAACCACCUGGUGAAUUCCGCAAUCCUGUUAAAUGAUGCUCCUGAACCGAGGAGGACACAGGCAAGCCAAAGGCAGAAUGACUGUCUCCAUGAGUGAUGAGAGAGCUGCAGACCUGAUAGGCAGAUAGAGCAUUAUUAAUAGACCAGGGGUUGGUGCUGGCUAUCACCUGAGCUGCCCAGGCUCUUCUUGUGUGGCAUAAGGGACUUUCUGCCAUCAUUUGGAUUUGGAACGGUGGACGAACAUCUCCAGUAACACUGUCCAGACAAUAUAUAAAGUUGAAAAUUUACCAAAUACAGCAUAUUUAAAGGAGCUUUAUCUUUCAAAACAAUAUGCAUACAUUUUAAAGGCAAAUAAAUGAAUAUAAUACCAGUAAUUAUUGUUGAAUUAUCCUCUGUUUACUUGAGAUGGAAAUAAA
ensembl:lncRNA